UACGUAGGGUGCGAGCGUUAAUCGGAAUUACUGGGCGUAAAGGGCUCGUCGGUGGCCAACUAAGUCAGACGUGAAAUCCCUCGGCUUAACCGAGGAACUGCGUCUGAUACUGGAUGGCUUGAGUUUGGGAGAGGGACGCGGAAUUCCAGGUGUAGCGGUGAAAUGCGUAGAUAUCUGGAGGAACACCAAUGGCGAAGGCGGAUCUCUGGGCCUUACCUGACGCUCAGGUGCGAAAGCUAGGGGAGCGAACAGG
rnacentral:rRNA from 1 species